AUGCCCCUCGCCUUUCGCAUUUGCCUUUUGGUUUCGUUUUCUGUACGCCUCGUGCCAUCGCUGUACCCUGUAAAUAUUUUUCAGCAGAGAGCGCUCCCACCGGGUGUAGCGCUUUGUGUGAUGAGAAAUCUGUGUACGGCUCUCGGCUUUUUUUACGAGAAACGGAAAAUUGAUGGAACAAGGAUUGUGUGUCUUAUGAACACCAGAGGGCCGGUGUUCUUGCUUGCCUCUUGGAUGCCCCUAGCUUGUCUCUCCAGAUAUUUGUGGAGAAAGUUACUAUUUUUUUCUUCUUAUUUUACUCUUUCCAUGUAUGCCGUUGUACUAGCUAAUCUCAACAAGUGUUUCUGA
rnacentral:rRNA from 1 species